AUGAAGGGGUGCACAUCAUUGAGCGAGAAGCAGCAGGCAGGACGCCAUGGAGCAGGGGCGUCGUCGUCCUCAAGCCACUCUCUCCCGCUCAAUGGAUGUGACCUCGCCGGUGCCGACAUGACGAAGGAUGGCGAGCCUUGGGCGAAAAUCACCGGAGAGGUGCGCUACAUGGAUGUCGAUUUCUGCAAGGGGACUGAAAACCUACCCGAAUUUGACUGGGGUAUACCUCUAUCCUCUCCUGAUGCUGCUUUCAAUGGCACUGACAAAGGUGACCAUUGUUGCCACUUACUGAACCCUGCGAGAAGAGUUUGCUCUGAUGAAUAUGACUAUGGUCGUAGAUUUCUUGUUUGUCCUCAUGACGUUAUGAUACAUGUGCUUAUCUGA
rnacentral:rRNA from 1 species